rnacentral:rRNA from 1 species
GACGAACGCUGGCGGCGUGCCUAAUACAUGCAAGUAGAACGCUGAAGGAGGAGCUUGCUUCUCUGGAUGAGUUGCGAACGGGUGAGUAACGCGUAGGUAACCUGCCUGGUAGCGGGGGAUAACUAUUGGAAACGAUAGCUAAUACCGCAUAACAGUAGAUAUCGCAUGAUAUCUACUUGAAAGGUGCAAUUGCAUCACUACCAGAUGGACCUGCGUUGUAUUAGCUAGUUGGUGAGGUAACGGCUCACCAAGGCGACGAUACAUAGCCGACCUGAGAGGGUGAUCGGCCACACUGGGACUGAGACACGGCCCAGACUCCUACGGGAGGCAGCAGUAGGGAAUCUUCGGCAAUGGACGGAAGUCUGACCGAGCAACGCCGCGUGAGUGAAGAAGGUUUUCGGAUCGUAAAGCUCUGUUGUAAGAGAAGAACGAGUGUGAGAGUGGAAAGUUCACACUGUGACGGUAUCUCACCAGAAAGGGACGGCUAACUACGUG